AUACAGGCUUUAAUAAAAGCCAUUAUCACAAAGUAAAAAUGACGU
rfam:Thalassotalea sp. ND16A ctg88, whole genome shotgun sequence.